CAGUCGCCGCGGGAAUACAGAGGGUGCGAGCGUUAAUCGGAUUUACUGGGCGUAAAGCGUGCGUAGGCGGCUUCUUAAGUCGGAUGUGAAAUCCCUGAGCUUAACUUAGGAAUUGCAUUCGAUACUGGGAAGCUAGAGUAUGGGAGAGGACGGUAGAAUUCCAGGUGUAGCGGUGAAAUGCGUAGAGAUCUGGAGGAAUACCGAUGGCGAAGGCAGCCAUCUGGCCUAAUACUGACGCUGAGGUACGAAAGCAUGGGGAGCAAACAGGAUUAGAUACCCCCGUAGUCCCUGUCUUAUACAC
rnacentral:rRNA from 1 species